CGAGACCACCAUGACAACGAGCAGGGCCGAGAUUCCACCCGCUAUCAUGCAUUUCUUCUUCUUAUCGUCGCCCAAACCCAUUUCUUGUGCGGGUUUAUUCGAAUAUGAGGUAAAAACCUGAGGAGCUGCAACUUUGGCUAAGAGCCCUUCUUGCUCUGAUCCUUGAUCUUUUUUUAUUUUUUUUAAGGAUUUUGGUAAUUUGUAUUUUUUUUUUGUGUGGUUUUGGUUCAAGUGAGUGUAUUGGUUUAAGCAAAGGGAUCGGAAUGGCGUUUAUAUAAGGAAUGGUGUCAACGCUAUUUUUGGGUUUUUCUUAUUACAAGUGUUUGAACGGAUCUAACUGACUAUAGAUUCUUCCCA